rnacentral:tRNA from 1 species
CAUUAAGUAACUUAAAUGCAAGUUUUGGUCUCUUAAACCAUUUUUUGGUAAAUUAGCGAUUACCCUUGAUGA